ACCCGGGAAACUCUGGGUCUAGCAUCUCCUCUGCUGAACAUCUCCUAUGUCAAGCACUCCCCAAGGACAGGACCUGCUCUCAGUGUGCCUUUUGGCUCCCAGCACACCUUAGGUGGUGUAUCUGUGUUGGCAUGAAAAGACCCAACUGGUCCUAUUUCCAAAUAGUUUUGAGAAAUGAUCAAGGCCAAAUGUCUGAAGCUGACCUUGGGUACAGUCAAGUACACUGGUGCAAAUCAAAAUCUUGCAAGGUCCUGAGAUGACAGCUAAGAUGAGAACAGAAACCAGAUGAGGCCUUG